rnacentral:rRNA from 1 species
UCCUUGUCGGGUAAGUUCCGACCUGCACGAAUGGCGUAACGAUGGCCACACUGUCUCCACCAGAGACUCAGUGAAAUUGAAAUUGCGGUUAAGAUGCCGUAUACCCGCGGCUAGACGGAAAGACCCCGUGAACCUUUACUACAGCUUGGCACUGAACAUUGAACCUACAUGUGUAGGAUAGGUGGGAGGCUUUGAAACAUAGUCGCUAGAUUGUGUGGAGCCGCCGUUGAAAUACCACCCUUGUAUGUUUGAUGUUCUAACAUGGGUC